rnacentral:rRNA from 1 species
GACGAACGCUGGCGGCGUGCCUAAUACAUGCAAGUCGAACGAAGCUGUUUUAACUGGUGCUUGCACCGACUUAAACAACUGAGUGGCGAACGGGUGAGUAACACGUGGGUAACCUGCCCCCAAAGCGGGGGAUAACAUUUGGAAACAGAUGCUAAUACCGCAUAAUCACAGAAACCACAUGGUUUCUGUGUCAAAGAUGGUUUCGGCUAUCACUUUGGGAUGGACCCGCGGCGUAUUAGCUAGUUGGUAAGGUAAUGGCUUACCAAGGCAAUGAUACGUAGCGGAACUGGGAGGUUGAUCGGCCACAUUGGGACUGAGACACGGCCCAAACUCCUACGGGAGGCAGCAGUAGGGAAUCUUCCACAAUGGACGAAAGUCUGAUGGAGCAACGCCGCGUGAGUGAAGAAGGUUUUCGGAUCGUAAAACUCUGUUGUCAGAGAAGAACGUGUGCGAGAGUAACUGUUCGUGCAGUGACGGUAUCUGGCCAGAAAGCCACGGCUAACUACGUGCCAGCCGCCGCAGUAA